rnacentral:siRNA from 1 species
CAAUGAAAUGCACAUUGUUGGCA